AAGAAUAUUAGUCAAUGCUCGUAAGAGUGAACUAGCUAACUGAAAUCACAUGAUCCUCUACGUGUGGUGAAUGUAAUAACGUAAGGGAAAAAAAUGAUAUUACCUUACUAUUAGUGUUGUCCAAAACUGGUGCCAGAAGACUCGGUAAGGCCAGAGACGCAAACGUUAGUCGUCCUAAUCAGGCGUAAAGGGUAUGUAGGCUGCUUUAAAAGUUUUAUAAUUAGUAGCUAUGUAUAAAAAUAAAUAAAAUAAAUUUUUCUUAAAUUAUUUAAUUUAUACAGAAAAUAUAAAAUGAAUUGAAGCUAGAAUCAAAUUGAGGAUAAGUCAAAUAAUACCUAGUGUAGGGUUUGAAUCUGAUGAUAUUAGGUAGAGUACUAACGGUGAAAGCUUUUUAUCUAGAAAUGAUUGACGCUGAGAAACGAAGGUGAGAAUAG
rnacentral:rRNA from 1 species